GUAUUAAUUUUUUCAGCUUGCAAAACAAGCUUAUGAUUUAACAUUCUGAAACUUUUGGGUUUAUUUAAAAAGACAUAGACCAAACAAAAGUCGGCCUACAAAGAGUGCACAUGGUGUAAAAUUUGGAACAAGGUGUGCACAUAUCUAUUACGAUCAGCUACAACCUCUUCAAAAUUCAAUAAUGAUCCUUCCGCAGGUUCACCUACGGAAA
rnacentral:misc_RNA from 1 species